rnacentral:rRNA from 1 species
UUAAUUGAAGAGUUUGAUCAUGGCUCAGAUUGAACGCUGGCGGCAGGCCUAACACAUGCAAGUCGAGCGGCAGCACAGAGGAACUUGUUCCUUGGGUGGCGAGCGGCGGACGGGUGAGUAAUGCCUGGGAAAUUGCCCGGCAGAGGGGGAUAACCAUUGGAAACGAUGGCUAAUACCGCAUAACCUCGCAAGAGCAAAGCAGGGGACCUUCGGGC